ACGAGUUGUAAUUUGAAGAUUGUAACCUUGGGGUUGGCUCUUGGUCUAUGUUUCUUGGAACAGGACGUCACAGAGGGUGAGAAUCCGCGUGCGAUGAGAUGCCCAAUUACUAUGUAANGUGUAGCUAUUCGAAGAGUCGAGUUGUUUGGGAACUGCAGCUCUAAGUGGGUGGUAAAUUCCAUCUAAAGCUAAAUAUUGGCGAGAGACCGAUAGCGAACAAGUACGAGUGAUGGAAAGAUGAAAAGAACUUUGAAAGAGAGAGUGAAAAAGUACGUGAAAUUGUUGAANAGGGAAGGGUUUGAGAUCAGACUCGAUAUUUGUAGAGGCCUUUGCGCCUUCGGUGGCUGNGUGGGUUGAUCCC
rnacentral:rRNA from 1 species